UACGUAGGACGCAAGCAUUAUCCGGAAUUACUGGGCGUAAAGAGCGCGCAGGCGGAUCAAUAAGUCAGGUAUGAAAGCUCUGGGCUAAACUCGGAGAGGCUACAUGAUACUGUUGAUCUAGAGUGGGGAAGAGGGGCGUAGAAUUCCGCGUGUAGUGGUAAAAUGCGUAGAUAUGCGGAGGAAUACCAGUGGCGAAGGCGACGCUCUGGUCCCCAACUGACGCUGAGGCGCGAAAGCAUGGGGAGUGAACGGG
rnacentral:rRNA from 1 species